GACAGAGGGUGCAAACGUUGCUCGGAAUCACUGGGCGUAAAGGGUGCGCAGGCGGCCAAGUGUGUCAGGUGUGAAAUCCCGAGGCUUAACCUCGGAACUGCGCCUGAAACUACUUGGCUAGAGUACUGGAGAGGGUAACGGAAUUCACGGUGUAGCAGUGAAAUGCGUAGAUAUCGUGAGGAACACCAGAGGCGAAGGCGGUUACCUGGACAGUUACUGACGCUCAGGCACGAAAGCGUGGGGAGCAAAAGGG
rnacentral:rRNA from 1 species